rnacentral:tRNA from 1 species
GGUUCUGUGGUGUAAUGGUUAGCACUUUGAACUUUGAAUCCAAGGAUACGCGUUCGAGUUUCGGCAGAACCU